rnacentral:lncRNA from 1 species
UCUCUGGGCUGUCUUCACACAGGGAGCUUCAUACCACAUGACACGUGUGUUCAUACCAUCCUCACCAGCCAUUGUAUCCUGCAGAGAGCACUCCAGGAAACCAGCGGCCCAAGCCUAACCAGAGGUGUUUCAAAUACAGAUACUUCAUGAAUUCUGGCAAACUUUUAAAAAUAAUGAGGACCUAAAGACCCUGAUUUAGUAGCUCUGUUCCAGGAAUCAGGGGGCCAUAAAACCUUCUGGUGUCCCCUUAUCUCCUGGAGCCAUAAAACAAUCCUGUGACUUGGGUGCCUUCCCCUCUGACAUCCCCAUCCCCUGGGCUCACAGCCUCUGCCUUUAAAUAAUCUUUCUCCCAGCCUCUCGGGGUCUACACUUCUGUCUCCUGCGUGGGAUACGUGUCGGCCCGGAGAUCUCUGUAAUAGGUCUCCGUAAUAAACCUCACCUUUGCUUAUU